UUAAGCGACUAAGCGUACACGGUGGAUGCCCUGGCAGUCAGAGGCGAUGAAGGACGUGCUAAUCUGCGAAAAGCGUCGGUAAGGUGAUAUGAACCGUUAUAACCGGCGAUGUCCGAAUGGGGAAACCCAGUGCAAUUCGUUGCACUAUCGUUAACUGAAUACAUAGGUUAACGAGGCGAACCGGGGGAACUGAAACAUCUAAGUACCCCGAGGAAAAGAAAUCAACCGAGAUUCCCCCAGUAGCGGCGAGCGAACGGGGAGCAGCCCAGAGUCUGAAUCAGCUUGUGUGUUAGUGGAACGGUCUGGAAAGUCCGACGGUACAGGGUGAUAGUCCCGUACACCAAAAUGCACAGGUUGUGAACUCGAAGAGUAGGGCGGGACACGUGGUAUCCUGUCUGAAUAUGGGGGGACCAUCCUCCAAGGCUAAAUACUCCUGACUGACCGAUAGUGAACCAGUACCGUGAGGGAAAGGCGAAAAGAACCCCGGCGAGGGGAGUGAAAAAGAACCUGAAACCGUGUACGUACAAGCAGUGGGAGCACCUUCGGGUGUGACUGCGUACCUUUUGUAUAAUGGGUCAGCGACUUAUAUUCUGUAGCAAGGUUAACCGUAUAGGGGAGCCGCAGGGAAACCGAGUCUUAACUGGGCGUUAAGUUGCAGGGUAUAGACCCGAAACCCGGUGAUCUAGCCAUGGGCAGGUUGAAGGUUGGGUAACACUAACUGGAGGACCGAACCGACUAAUGUUGAAAAAUUAGCGGAUGACUUGUGGCUGGGGGUGAAAGGCCAAUCAAACCGGGAGAUAGCUGGUUCUCCCCGAAAGCUAUUUAGGUAGCGCCUCGUGAACUCAUCUUCGGGGGUAGAGCACUGUUUCGGCUAGGGGGUCAUCCCGACUUACCAACCCGAUGCAAACUACGAAUACCGAAGAAUGUUAUCACGGGAGACACACGGCGGGUGCUAACGUCCGUCGUGAAGAGGGAAACAACCCAGACCGCCAGCUAAGGUCCCAAAGUCAUGGUUAAGUGGGAAACGAUGUGGGAAGGCACAGACAGCCAGGAUGUUGGCUUAGAAGCAGCCAUCAUUUAAAGAAAGCGUAAUAGCUCACUGGUCGAGUCGGCCUGCGCGGAAGAUGUAACGGGGCUAAACCAUGCACCGAAGCUGCGGCAGCGACACUAUGUGUUGUUGGGUAGGGGAGCGUUCUGUAAGCCUGCGAAGGUGUGCUGUGAGGCAUGCUGGAGGUAUCAGAAGUGCGAAUGCUGACAUAAGUAACGAUAAAGCGGGUGAAAAGCCCGCUCGCCGGAAGACCAAGGGUUCCUGUCCAACGUUAAUCGGGGCAGGGUGAGUCGACCCCUAAGGCGAGGCCGAAAGGCGUAGUCGAUGGGAAACAGGUUAAUAUUCCUGUACUUGGUGUUACUGCGAAGGGGGGACGGAGAAGGCUAUGUUAGCCGGGCGACGGUUGUCCCGGUUUAAGCAUGUAGGCUGGUUGUCCAGGCAAAUCCGGAUAAUCAAGGCUGAGGUGUGAUGACGAGGCACUACGGUGCUGAAGUAACAAAUGCCCUGCUUCCAGGAAAAGCCUCUAAGCAUCAGGUAACAUUAAAUCGUACCCCAAACCGACACAGGUGGUCAGGUAGAGAAUACCAAGGCGCUUGAGAGAACUCGGGUGAAGGAACUAGGCAAAAUGGUGCCGUAACUUCGGGAGAAGGCACGCUGGUGUGUAGGUGAAGUCCCUGCGGAUGGAGCUGAGACCAGUCGAAGAUACCAGCUGGCUGCAACUGUUUAUUAAAAACACAGCACUGUGCAAACACGAAAGUGGACGUAUACGGUGUGACGCCUGCCCGGUGCCGGAAGGUUAAUUGAUGGGGUUAUCCGUAAGGAGAAGCUCUUGAUCGAAGCCCCGGUAAACGGCGGCCGUAACUAUAACGGUCCUAAGGUAGCGAAAUUCCUUGUCGGGUAAGUUCCGACCUGCACGAAUGGCGUAAUGAUGGCCAGGCUGUCUCCACCCGAGACUCAGUGAAAUUGAACUCGCUGUGAAGAUGCAGUGUACCCGCGGCAAGACGGAAAGACCCCGUGAACCUUUACUAUAGCUUGACACUGAACAUUGAGCCUUGAUGUGUAGGAUAGGUGGGAGGCUUUGAAGCGUGGACGCCAGUCUGCGUGGAGCCAACCUUGAAAUACCACCCUUUAAUGUUUGAUGUUCUAACGUUGGCCCCUUACCGGGGUUGCGGACAGUGUCUGGUGGGUAGUUUGACUGGGGCGGUCUCCUCCCAAAGCGUAACGGAGGAGCACGAAGGUUAGCUAAUCCUGGUCGGACAUCAGGAGGUUAGUGCAAUGGCAUAAGCUAGCUUGACUGCGAGCGUGACGGCGCGAGCAGGUGCGAAAGCAGGUCAUAGUGAUCCGGUGGUUCUGAAUGGAAGGGCCAUCGCUCAACGGAUAAAAGGUACUCCGGGGAUAACAGGCUGAUACCGCCCAAGAGUUCAUAUCGACGGCGGUGUUUGGCACCUCGAUGUCGGCUCAUCACAUCCUGGGGCUGAAGUAGGUCCCAAGGGUAUGGCUGUUCGCCAUUUAAAGUGGUACGCGAGCUGGGUUUAGAACGUCGUGAGACAGUUCGGUCCCUAUCUGCCGUGGGCGCUGGAGAAUUGAGGGGGGCUGCUCCUAGUACGAGAGGACCGGAGUGGACGCAUCACUGGUGUUCGGGUUGUCAUGCCAAUGGCACUGCCCGGUAGCUAAAUGCGGAAGAGAUAAGUGCUGAAAGCAUCUAAGCACGAAACUUGCCCCGAGAUGAGUUCUCCCUGAGACUUUAAGUCUCCUGAAGGAACGUUGAAGACGAUGACGUUGAUAGGCCGGGUGUGUAAGCGCAGCGAUGCGUUGAGCUAACCGGUACUAAUGAACCGUGAGGCUUAACCUU
rnacentral:rRNA from 1 species